GGCCUUGUCGUCUAGUGGUCUAGGACACUUGGUUCUCAUCCAAGAGAUCGCGGGUUCAAAUCCCGCCAGGGUCA
rnacentral:tRNA from 1 species